GACGUAGGGGGCCAGCGUUGUUCGGAAUUACUGGGCGUAAAGAGCGCGCAGGCGGUCGUUCAAGUCGCGUGUGAAAGCCCCCGGCUCAACUGGGGAGGGUCACGCGAUACUGAUCGACUCGAAGGCAGGAGAGGGUAGUGGAAUUCCCGGUGUAGUGGUGAAAUGCGUAGAUAUCGGGAGGAACACCAGUGGCGAAGGCGACUACCUGGCCUGUUCUUGACGCUGAGGCGCGAAAGCUAGGGGAGCAAACGGG
rnacentral:rRNA from 1 species